UCCAGAUAAGGGCAAAACUAUUGAAAAAUAGUGACGCAAAGCUUCAGGUCUAAGGCCGCUUUCGGCUAUGAUGGCUGGGUUCCCUGG
rnacentral:ncRNA from 1 species